CCGGGGCUUCUUUACCAGGUACUGUCAUUAUCAUCCCUGGCGAAAGUGCUUUACGAUCCUAAGACCUUCAUCACACACGCGGCAUGGCUAGAUCAGGCUUGCGCCCAUUGUCUAAGAUUCCCCA
rnacentral:rRNA from 1 species